AUUGAACGCUGGCGGCAGGCCUAACACAUGCAAGUCGAACGGUAGCACAGAGAGCUUGCUCUUGGGUGACGAGUGGCGGACGGGUGAGUAAUGUCUGGGAAACUGCCUGAUGGAGGGGGAUAACUACUGGAAACGGUAGCUAAUACCGCAUAACGUCGCAAGACCAAAGAGGGGGACCUUCGGGCCUCUUGCCAUCAGAUGUGCCCAGAUGGGAUUAGCUAGUAGGUGGGGUAAUGGCUCACCUAGGCGACGAUCCCUAGCUGGUCUGAGAGGAUGACCAGCCACACUGGAACUGAGACACGGUCCAGACUCCUACGGGAGGCAGCAGUGGGGAAUAUUGCACAAUGGGCGCAAGCCUGAUGCAGCCAUGCCGCGUGUAUGAAGAAGGCCUUCGGGUUGUAAAGUACUUUCAGCGAGGAGGAAGGUGGUGAGGUUAAUAACCUUAUCAAUUGACGUUACUCGCAGAAGAAGCACCGGCUAACUCCGUGCCAGCCGCCGCCGUAACAC
rnacentral:rRNA from 1 species